GUCUAUGGCCAUGCUCCCGAACAAGUCUGAUCUCAGAAGCUAAGCAGGAUUGGGCCUGGUUAGUACUUGGAUGAGAGACCACCUAGGAAGACCAGGUGCUGUAUGCA
rnacentral:rRNA from 1 species